AUGUGGGUUGCUGCUCUGGAAGGAGGGGCAGCUUCCAGCUUUCUACAAGCCAGACGGGAAACAGCGGCUCAGGAAGUUUAUUUUGCCCCAUGUUCAGCCAGGGACUCAGAGCAUCCAAGUGUCCUCCCUGAUGGCUCCCUAGAGAGUGCAACCCUGGGUUUGUAUGCAGAGUCUUCCAGAUGCCCCAGUGCUCAAACGAACCGCCCUGCUCCUGUGGAAGUCACAUACAAGAACAUGAGAUUCUUUAUUCCACACAAUCCAACCAACGCAACCUUAAACAAAUUUAUAAGGGAACUUAAGAAAUAUGGAGUUACCACAAUAGUAAGAGUAUGUGAAGCAACUUACGACACUACUCUUGUGGAGAAAGAAGGCAUUCGUGUUUUUGAUUGGCCUUUUGAUGAUGGUGCACCACCAUCCAACCAAAUUGUUGAUGACUCGUUAAGUCUCAUGAAGAUUAAGUUUCGUGAAGAAUCUGGCUGUUGCAUUGCUGUCCUUUGUAUUGCAGGCCUUGGGAGAGCUCCGGGGCUGGUCGCCCUGGCAGGAAUUGAAGCUGGGGUGAAAUGUGAAGAUGCAGUGCAGUUCAGAGGACAAAAGCAUGGUGGAGCUUUUAACAGCGAGCGACGUUUGUGUCUGGAGAAGUACCAUCCUGAAAUGCAGCUGCGCUUCAAGGAUUCCAAUGUUCAUAGAAACAACUGUUGUAUUCAAUAAACUGGGAUGCCUGAUGCCAUCGCCCCGGAAAUGGAACUUCAGAUGGGACCUAAUGUGUUGUACAUAAUCAGCAAAUGUUGAUGUGGAGAGUAAGUCUAAUGAAGCUUCUGCAGGAAUAUUGAGAACCAGUUUUACCAGGCCAUGCAAGCUUGACAGAAUUGCAACCUCUGUGUUUGGGUUAUGAUUGACCUGUUUGGACACUUAGCAAAAGAUUUUUGUUGGUCAGCAAUUAAAAUGAACUUAUUAUUUGUACCAAUUGACCUUUCUCAAAAUCCUAUGGUACUGAGUUAUGUCUUUAAAUCUAUUCCUGUGCCAGAAUCUUAUCAGUAAAUAAGGGAGUUAGAACAAUUAGGUGCCAAAAUACCCAGCACAAAAUUUGUAUAUUUUUAGUAUUAUAUAAAGCCCAAAUCCCAGGAACUAAGAACGCUCUAUCUAGACCUUCCAUGGUUUAUUCCUUCAGUCCUUGCAAACACUGUGGGGUCUCUGGUUAUUCAUCUGCUCACUCUGUUUACAUCUCCAUUCAUACCAGUACGCAUCAGGUUUGCUUAACCAUUGUCUUUUAAAAAAAAAAACAGGUCUUAUGGUGAUUAUUUAAUACCUUUCCAUGUCUUAUUAUGUGCUGUUAUAGGACACCUCCAUUUUUAAAAAACUACAUUCUUACAGAAGCAUAUAUCUUUAAUAAUGUCUCCAGACAGAAAGCCUUAUAGUUAAUUUAAUGUUUACACUCAGAGGUGCAGCUGAACAGCCUGAAAAAGAAUGGGAGGGGCUAUUAAAUAUUUUUAGUAAAAUGUUGCCUUUGUCUUGUGCAGAACAUGUGGAAUAUGCUCAAAUAUUUUUAAAAGGUAGAGAUUCGUUGUUGUAGCUAAACAAUUCUUAGUCAAAAUUUUUGAAAUUCUUGUAAAUUUUUUCCAUACUUAUCAGAAGUUGUUUUCCAACUUUUUGUUUGAAUAAUGAUUUUUCUCCCUUUUCUCCCUAAACUCUCUUGCAAAAAAGUGAAUCCUGCUAAUGAACUGAGCAGACAUCUAAUAUUUUAUGCCUUUUGAGCUAUGAAACUUAAUAAUUGGAUACUUGGUAAUUUGUUUAAUUAUGUAAUCAAUAAAAUGGUGAUGUGUAUUAAUGUUAGUUUAAUCAUAUAUUUGUACUGUGUGGGAAUUUGUGUUUAUAGUUCUGUGGGAGAAAUAAUUUUUCAGUGUUCACCAGCUUGUAAAAACUUAGUUUGAGAGCUUAAGCAUCUAA